rnacentral:rRNA from 1 species
UGAGGAAUAUUGGUCAAUGGGCGGAAGCCUGAACCAGCCAAGUAGCGUGAGGGAUGACUGCCCUAUGGGUUGUAAACCUCUUUUAUAAGGGAAUAAAAUACGGGACGUGUCCUGUUUUGCAUGUACCUUAUGAAUAAGGACCGGCUAAUUCCGUGCCAGCAGCCGCGGUAAUACGGAAGGUCCGGGCGUUAUCCGGAUUUAUUGGGUUUAAAGGGAGCGCAGGCGGUCUUAUAAGCGUGACGUGAAAUGCAGCGGCUCAACCGUAUGAUGUGCGUCGCGAACUGUGAGACUUGAGUGUAUUCGAUGUCAGCGGUAAUU